GUACCUGCUCUGUAUGUAUAUAAAGCCUUUAUGCCUAAACUGUGAAUAGUACCAGUUAACCAGCAAACUGAUAGGAUCAGGGAGCAUCAGAACCUCUGUUCCAGCUGUGAAGGCAACUUAACAGACAAAAUCUAGAACAAGAUAAGGAAGAAUAAUGAAGAUUUUGUGGAUACUGCUACUUCUUGGCAUCCAGAUAAUGACCAUACAUGCUCAAACAACUGGAACAGCUUCUCCUACGACCACGACUGCUCCAACAACCACAGCUUCUGCAACAACAACCACAGCUGUUCCAACAACAACCACAGCUGCUGCAACAACGACCACAGCUGCUCCAACAACCACAGCUGCUGCAACAACAGCCACAGCUGUUUCAACAACAACCACAACUGCUGCAACAACGACCACAGCUGC